UCUCUUUAUAAAUAGAGCUAUGAAGAGAUUUAAAGGAUGUUAGGCUGCUUUGAAGGUGUAAGACCCCUUCCUUUCCUACCCAUCCUCCUCACUCCCUAGCUGGUCCCAGUGGCUCUCUCUCUCGGCAGAUUUGGUCUGUGUGUCCAUGUACUGGAGAGUCAGUGGGCGCUCAUUUCUCAGAGUUAUGAUGUCCUUGGCCUGGCCUGCUUUUACUCUGCUUGCUUAGAUCUGCUGCUCUAUGGAAAAGGUAAAUCUUGCGCAGGUCUCUGCUGUACUCCUGAGGGAUUCAGACCUCAGAUGGGGCUCUAGGUUUGGAAUACAGGCAGUCAUGAACCUGUCCCUCAGGCAUGGCCUCUGCCCCUGACCUCUGGCUCCUUAAAGUCUGGGAACCAUGUUGUGAUUCAGGGGUGUCUGCCUUUGGGGUCUUUUUUCCUUCCCUGUAUCACAUACCUUCUAUACCCUGGUUCCUACACUGAUAUUAUAUACUAGCGUGGUUACCUUCUCUGUCCACAGGAUUGCUGUGUCGGCCCUUUAGUGAGUGUCUGCGUUUCGUUCAAGUCUACGAGCACAGCCGUGUUCUAACCUCUCAGAGCAAUGUCAUGCUGGGGGUCCACUCCUCCCUGGCCAUGUGUACUGUAAGGAGUUCUUCUCUCAAUGUGUGACCUGCCCUGUCUAUCACCAGUGGGUAUCUGAGCUUAAGGCCUCUGUAAUGAGAUGUGAAAAGAGAGAAUUGAUGUCCCUGACUAACAGCAUCAGACCUUUU
rnacentral:lncRNA from 1 species